GUUCAUUGCUGGGGAGUUGGACUAGAUGACCUUUAAGUGUCCCUUCCAACUUAAACCAUUCUAUGUUUUGACGAUUCUGUGAUUUCUUGAGAAGGCAUUGAACAUGCUUCACAAAUGCACAAUCCAGUGCUAGGGCUGUGCUGAACUGGGCUGAUCAGAAGAGGUGUUCUGCGUGGGAAUGUGAGAACAUCACUCCGUGUCUUCUCCCUUUGAACCUGACUUAUCUGCAGGAAGAAGGAACAGACUUGCUCCAAACCCCUCCUCACAGAAGUCACAAUGUCACCCUGCAUUUCUGUGCAGACCUUUUCAGCCAAACAAGAUUUUGAGCUAGGUCUGUGCUCUAUGGUCUCCUUCACUGGAAUUUCCUAUCAAUUAGUAAAAUACCUGCCCUCCAGGAAAUCUGGCAGUCAGCUGCCUGUCCAAAGCACCUGUACUUCUGCCAAACUGUCCAUCUUGUACCUCCUUUGCAUAAUGCACUCUAUUACAGUGCGUGUUUAAUACAGCAUCAUUGUCUGGGAGAUGACAUUUGCCUUUUACCUUGACAGGCGUUUGACAGUAUCUCACCACCUUUCCCAUUAUUUCCCCAUGACAAGUUCUAUUCGUAAUGAGGCUGAGAAUAGGGGCUGCUUUGCACUUAUCACAGAGGUUGUCACAAACACACUCAUCCCUGGAAAGGAUCCUCAGUGCGGUCGGUGUGGCUGUCACAGCGGAGCCUCUCCAGGAUCACUUCUCUCUAAUGAUCAGCAGAGCCCCGCGAGGCCGCAGGGGAUGCAGCUCCGCAAGGCAGCGGGCUCUCUGCAGGAUGAGUGGCUGCUCUGUUGUUUUCAUUAUCUGUAGUAUUCACAGAGGCGUUCGUGACUUCAUUUUUUCCCCUUAUCUGUGAUCUGCUGUCCUUUUAGCUAGAACCCUCAUGUGAUAAAAGAGUGCACCUCCCCGGCUGGUAACUUUUGAGAGAGAGACGUGUAUUAGCUUACAAAACAUGCACGUUACCUACCGAACAUAAAAGUAGAAUUAAAUAUAGCAUCAGUCUUGUUUUUAAAACAAAUUCUUGGUCAAGAAGUGGUUGCAGUUUCAGUUUUAGAAAUGUUCUGUUUCUUCUUCUGUCAACAGAACUGACCUUGUAGGGGUCAUCCAAUGAGAAUGAUAACAUUGCCAAGUGCUGAAAUUAACAGCCGUUUCCUAAGGGUGUCCUCCUCCAUGUUUGUCUUCCAGCAAAAGAAAAACAGAAGAAAUGCAAAAAAACCUUUUAGAAACCAGAAUGUUUUCUUCAGUCCCCAAAGUCUCCUAAUUCAGAAUACAUCAUCUUGUUUGUGCUACAGAGCUCGUAAUUUUCCUUACAAUGCCAAAAGUUGUGAAUAUCUGAUGACACGAAAUUUGGCUUGAUGAUGUGCUGCUGUCUGAACUCGUACAUGAAAUGGCUCUCUCAGCUUCUGAUGUCAUGUAUUAAAAUAGGACAAAAACCUAGGGGAAAAUGUAUGUUUGCUUUUCUCAGAAUUUAGUUGGGAUAUGAAGCUGCUGAAACAAUACCUUUUUAGCUCACAUUUGUCUAUAAAUUUAGGGUGAUUUCCCUUUCUAAUGGCAAAGCAGAUCCGUGUCACUACGGUGACAGGUAGCUAAGGCUCAUGGCUGAUGUGAUAAUGUUCGUCAAAGAAACGGCAGCAGAAAGCAGCAGUCCCUCUGCCAACCAAUGUUUUCUAUCAGCCCUGUAGGUGUCUGACAGCCGGCCACAAAAUGGGGACAGUUAUACAAGAACAACUCGACUUCAUCACGGGUGAUGCUCGUGUAUGCAAAUGUUGCUGUAGUGAAUCCAAUUAGGUUUCUCUGCAUGCAGGAAUAUGCCAAAAUAGCUGCAUCUGAUCAGGCUGAUUGGGGACUGGGUACACAUAAGGUCCCCCACCAGCAGAGCCCAGCAUGGAUACCUGGAGCCAGGAGCAGGCAAGACUUGGAUUCACCCAAUUCAUAUGCUUAAUGCAACACUUCCCAGUGCACACAGGAACAGUGUCCUGGCUUUCCUGUACCCAUCAGAGGUUCCCACACAGCCAAGAUGUCCUCUGGAAGUCCCACCCAGAUGCUGACCUGAUGACUGCUCUCAGAGGCCAGAGACCUGCAAUCAUCCUUCAUACAGCAUUUCCUAGUGCUCAUGCUCUGCUCAAGAAUACCACAGUUGUCUUGUCUAGACCUUUGUCAGCAAUUUGAGGGAGCACAAACAGGCAUCAUGUCUAGCAGCUUACCUAUACAUUUUCAAGCACAUCACUGCUUCAUUUGUACAGAUACAGUAAUAAGUCUUGACAAUUUUAGGGCUUUGGAGUAUCACUAUUGCCUGAAAUGUAACCUUCGAUCAACAUCAGCAGGAAAAUGAUAAUAAAAUGAUGAAGAUUAAUUUUUCUAUUUGGUUUGCUGAAGAUCCACUCAGUUCCAUUAGCUAAGUCUUCUUUCAAACUAACAAAGAGCAAACCAACUCUUUCUGCUCUGCUGGGCCAAGAGGUGAAGGUUCCAGGUAGGGCUGUGCACCUGCAGCUUUGCUGUCAUCCCAGUUCCUUCAGGGGGCUUUCCUUCCCCUGGCCCUGGUGCUGUGGAUGCAGUGUCCUGUCACCACCAGUGUCAGCACCUCCUUACCCUGGCACACAAGAUCCUUGGAAGAUCUUGCAGAGCAGAAGUGGUUGAGCCAUGGAACGUGUAACAGACCUCACGAUUAUACACCUGAAGUCUUUCAGUGUUAGAGGAGAGCCUUGAGAGAUGCUGCUAAUGAAGACAAAUGAAGGAAAAGGAACUUGACCCCAGAGUGGGUGGAGAAAAGAUCUGCCAGAACUUUUUUACUGACACAUCCUCCUGGGAAGGAAGCUGUCCUGUGGUUUUAAGCCAAAGGAUUUAAAAUCAGUAAAAUACCACUGUGCUUUUGAUUUAGCUUCUUGAUGUGUGAAUAAUGCAUGCCACCAAAGAAAAAGACAGGCUAAAAAUACUGAGCGAUGUGAAAUGACCCUUGGUCUGAUCCUAUAAAUGUUUAUGCAUGUGAAUAAUUUUACACAAGCUUACUAAGGUGGUAAGAGAAUAUGCUCAUGAAAAGUUAUUGACCUGAAUGUUUAUCUGGAGGAUCAGACUGUUGCUAUGGAUAUUUUUAUCCAGAUCUCCUAAAGAAAACUUGUGU
rnacentral:lncRNA from 7 species